rnacentral:lncRNA from 1 species
GGUUUCUGUUAAGGCAAGAAGUUAGAGGGAAUGCUCUGAGAAGAGGUGCAUAUUGUAGAGGAGUUUUCUGAUUUUGGAAUGGCCAUCCCAGAAGACAAAGCAGAAAGAUGAUUGUGGAAGGGAGAAAGAAAUGGAGAGAGCUGAGCCAGGGGAAAUGGUCACCUGUUCCAUGUCCCUCAGUUUCUUGUGGAAUUGCCUUGACAGAGCAAUGCUUUAAUAUUGUGCUGUGGCUUCCAACAGAGGGACAGAUAGCGCAUGGAUACCUGGAGAACGCUCCUACAUGGGUGGAGGUUGUGUUGCUCUUGAGAACAUCAUGCAUUUCAUCAUUCCACGCCCCUCUAUGAAGAACACCCUCUCUGAUAUGAUAAUCUCAGAGUAUAGUAGCACACAAACAACAAAAAAGAUGUUUCCUCUAAUUAAUCCAUAUGGGAAUUAUUUCUAGACCUUGAGUC